UUUUCUUUAUUUAGCCAAUCAGGAUUACCUCUGCAAUUCUCGUCCCUAUUACAAAGUUGUUGCGGAUGAUGGCACGCAGAAAAAUGUGCCCAAGGACUGCAUAAAUGAGUACAAUAAAGUAAGAGGCAGAAUAAGGGAGGACCGGCAAGUCUAUAAUGAUGAGUGCGAAUGAAUCCAAGCGGAAGCGCUAAAGACAAAAAAGCGCCACUGCUUCUUUAUUUCUUUGAAGACGGUUUCCAUUGAGUUCUUAUAAUACUUCACUUCUUGUCUUCAGUAGUCAGAAUAAACUUUAGGUCUG
rnacentral:lncRNA from 1 species